rnacentral:rRNA from 1 species
AUUGAACGCUGGCGGCAGGCCUAACACAUGCAAGUCGAACGGUAACAGGAAACAGCUUGCUGUUUCGCUGACGAGUGGCGGACGGGUGAGUAAUGUCUGGGAAACUGCCUGAUGGAGGGGGAUAACUACUGGAAACGGUAGCUAAUACCGCAUAACGUCGCAAGACCAAAGAGGGGGACCUUCGGGCCUCUUGCCAUCGGAUGUGCCCAGAUGGGAUUAGCUAGUAGGUGGGGUAACGGCUCACCUAGGCGACGGUCCCUAGCUGGUCUGAGAGGAUGACCAGCCACACUGGAACUGAGACACGGUCCAGACUCCUACGGGAGGCAGCAGUGGGGAAUAUUGCACAAUGGGCGCAAGCCUGAUGCAGCCAUGCCGCGUGUAUGAAGAAGGCCUUCGGGU